GAUGAACGCUGGCGGCGUGCCUAAUACAUGCAAGUCGAGCGAACAGACGAGGAGCUUACUCCUCUGACGUUAGCGGCGGACGGGUGAGUAACACGUGGAUAACCUACCUAUAAGACUGGGAUAACUUCGGGAAACCGGAGCUAAUACCGGAUAACAUGUUGAACCGCAUGGUUCAACAGUGAAAGACGGUCUUGCUGUCACUUAUAGAUGGAUCCGCGUCGCAUUAGCUAGUUGGUAAGGUAACGGCUUACCAAGGCAACGAUGCGUAGCCGACCUGAGAGGGUGAUCGGCCACACUGGAACUGAGACACGGUCCAGACCCCUACGGGAGGCAGCAGUAGGGAAUCUUCCGCAAUGGGCGAAAGCCUGACGGAGCAACGCCGCGUGAGUGAAGAAGGUCUUCGGAUCGUAAAACUCUGUUAUUAGGGAAGAACAAAUGUGUAAGUAACUAUGCACGUCUUGACGGUACCUAAUCAGAAAGCCACGGCUAACUACGUG
rnacentral:rRNA from 1 species